GGUCUGAUGCCACAUCGCUAGUAGCUACAAGCCUACAAGCUUUGACUAGAGAUGCUAUGAUUAAUACAAAGUUGUUUUACAUGUUGAUAGGAACAUGGGCAUGGCUUCUACGUCUGUCCAUGGAGCCAGUUUCAGUGACCAUAUUC
rfam:Zea mays cultivar B73 chromosome 2, whole genome shotgun sequence.